AACCCAAAUAAGCUCAAUCAGAAAUGCAAAAGGAUCUUGGUGGUCAUAAAAGGAAGAAAAGUAAUACUGAAGCUGGCUUUGCAGUGUUGUAAUUUGUUACAUGGCAUGUGGGCUAGUUUCAAACAAGU
rnacentral:snoRNA from 1 species